UACGAAGGUGGCAAGCAUUACUCGGAAUUACUAGGCGUAAAGGGCAGGUAGGUGGUUCGAUAAGUCUGUUGUGAAAGCUCCCGGCUCAACUGGGAGAGGCCAACAGAAACUAUCAGACUUGAGUAUAGGAGAGGUUACUGGAAUUCCCGGUGUAGCGGUGAAAUGCGCAGAGAUCGGGAGGAACACCAAUGGCGAAAGCAGGUAACUGGACUAUUACUGACACUCAGCUGCGAAAGCUAGGGGAGCAAACAGG
rnacentral:rRNA from 1 species